rnacentral:rRNA from 1 species
UACGGGGGGGUGCGAGCGUUGUCCGGAAUCACUGGGCGUAAAGGGCGCGUAGGUGGUGUCGUAAGUCUGUGGUGAAAGCCCGGGGCUCAACCCCGGGUCUGCCGCGGAGACUGCGAGACUCGAGUACUGUAGGGGCUGGUAGAAUGCCGGGUGUAGCGGUGGAAUGCGUAGAGAUCCGGCGGAAGACCGGUGGCGAAGGCGGCCAGCUGGGCAGUGACUGACGCUCAUGCACGAAAGCGUGGGGAGCAAACAGG